rnacentral:rRNA from 1 species
CAGUCGCCGCGGUAAUACGUAGGGUGCGAGCGUUAAUCGGAAUUACUGGGCGUAAAGCGUGCGCAGGCGGUUGUGUAAGACAGGUGUGAAAUCCCCGGGCUUAACCUGGGAACUGCGCUUGUGACUGCACAGCUAGAGUAUGGCAGAGGGGGGUGGAACUCCACGUGUAGCAGUGAAAUGCGUAGAGAUGUGGAGGAACACCGAUGGCGAAGGCAGCCCCCUGGGCCAAUACUGACGCUCAUGCACGAAAGCGUGGGGAGCAAACAGGAUUAGAUACCCGAGUAGUCCCUGUCUCUUAUAC